CAUGAUUGUCCCACUGCAUUCCAUCCUGGGCAACAGAGCAAGAGUCUGUCAAAAUAAAAAAGAAGAAAAAAAGAAGAAAGAUUUUAAUUAUUUUUAUCAACAAUUAUACAUUUUCAGUCUACUGUUAUGAAUUGCCACAACUUGGAGGCUUAGAACAACACAAAUUAGUACUCUCACAGUCCUGAAGGCUACAGCUCUGCAAUCAAGAUAUCAGCAAGGCCAUCAUUCCACUAAGGCUCUAAGGAAGAAUCCAUUUUUGCCUCUUCCUGCUUCUGGGAUGCAUCCACUUUAUUAGACGGCAAACUAGAAAAUGCUUCCUACAGUCGCCACAUAAAAAGAAUUAUCAUCAUGCCAAACAAAUUAUCAUCGGUGCCAAUGAUGUGAGAAUUGAGCAGAAAGAGCAAUGCAACAGGUUUUCUUUUCUGGCCAUGCCAAGGUGGAAGGUGAUCUUAAUUGAAGAAAGAAUGCUCAAAGUAGGGUGGGGCAGUAGGAGACACUGAAUUCACAUAUCAUUGAAAACCAAAAUAUUAGAAGAGCUUAAGUUUUAAAGAAUGCUGGCAAAUGUUUAAGCGAUCAGCACUGCUGGUUUACUAUAAACAUAAUGGACUACACGUUGAGUACCUUGACAUAUGAGUAAAUUCAUAUAGUACAAAUCAUUCAACACACAUAUCUUGAGAACAAGUGAGAAGACAGCCAUCUGCAAACCAGAGAGAAAGUCCUCAUAAGGAACUGAAUCAAACUUCACCUUGAUCUUGGGCUUCCCAGCCUUUGCAACUGUGAGAAAUAAAUGUGUCUUUAUGCCACCUUGUCUAUGGUAUGUUAUAGCAGCCCAAGCCAACUAAUACAGGCAGGAACUGAAGAAAACAUUACUUACUAGCAGCUGCUGUGAUCAGGUAACUCAAAUUAUUGUUGGUUUUCAGCAGCACCAAAAAGAGUUGGAAAUAGUCUGCUCUGAGCUUCAUGCAGGUAGAACCCCUGUAGUGGCAUCUCUGAACUCUCUGUGUUAUCAGAUUUCCCAAAAGCUCUUUUCCUCUCCCUUUUCCCCUUCCACCUUACCAUUGAUUAUAUCCGUUUCUAUUCAAUCAUAUUAAAUAAUUUCUUACUCAAAA
ensembl:lncRNA LINC02713 long intergenic non-protein coding RNA 2713